rnacentral:rRNA from 1 species
UACGUAGGGGGGCAAGCGUUGUCCGGAAUCAUUGGGCGUAAAGAGCGCGUAGGCGGCCCAGUAAGUCCGCUCUGAAAGUCAGGGGCUCAACCCCUGAAUGCGGGUGGAUACUGCUGGGCUAGAGUCCGGAAGAGGCGAGUGGAAUUCCUGGUGUAGCGGUGAAAUGCGCAGAUAUCAGGAGGAACACCAGUGGCGAAGGCGGAGACCUGGGCAGAUAUUGACGCUGAGGUGCGAAAGCGUGGGGAGCAAACAGG